UGUAAAAGACAUACGUACAUAUGUAUAAAAUACGAAUAUUAUUUUAGAACACUUCGAGCAGUAGAUGAAUAAAUUUAUUAGUAUUAAAUGAAAAUGCAAAGUAUGCUUGUCGUCGUAGCAGCAGCCAACAUUAAAGUGGUCGCCAUAUCCCCUAUUCGUAGCAAUUACGUGCUCAUUCGCAGAGUAUAUCUGUGGUCAUAAACAAUAACCACCUAAGUCGAUUUAAGGAAGAAUUGAGUUAUAUAUGCUAUCGUAUUCUGCAACUACUAUUCCGCAUGUGAAAUCUCCAUCUCGCCAGCUGGGCUAUUUAAAAAGUUAUAGACGAACAUAUUUUGAUUUCCACAUAAGGUUAAUAUUACAAUCCAAACGUUUAAAACGUUUCUUCUCGAAUUCAGAUGCUUCGACUUAGGCGGUUAUUGCGUAUGACCACAAAUAUUUGUAUUAACGGCGGCUACUGCUUCAGUCCGGCACGUCUUGUUUCUUCUGGUCAGCAAAAUAGUAGCGACAGUGGCAGCAGCAACUGCACUGUGGCAGAAGCCGAGACAGUCGAUGUAACAACAGUCUGCGCAAAGUCUGCUAGCGAAGGUGAUGACUGUUGGUGGCGGGGGUGAAGAUGUCGAUUGGUUUUCAUUUUCCUACUUCUGGUAUUUCGUUUAACGCUGCACUCUAAAAUAUGUUCACUCUCUUUGUCCCAUGCUCGUUAGUUGUCAAAAUAUGCCGUUUCAAACUCUCACCUACGAGAGCGUGCUGGAAAUACUACAAAAAUAAGCAGUUGUAAUGGAAGAGGCAGAAAAAGUAUUCUAUCCAGGAGGUUGUCUGCAGCAGAAUUAUUAAGGCGCCAGAAGGUUCUACGACCAGUUAUAUAGGCGUUUGCCCAAUCAACCAAAGAUGUUAAUUUAAUUUUGGCAUCGCAUUUGCUGUUUAAAACCAUUCUAAUGCUUAAGUGAAGGUAAAAGAAAGUGAAAAAGUUAUUAAGAUAUCUAAAAUGAUAUCCUUGCCACUAGACCAUAUGGGAAAAUACUCUGUGAAUUCUUCAUUGAAAUAUUUAUAGAUUGUAUACGGCGAUGUUGCAGCCUAAUGCAAGAGAAAUGAUGUCCAUUAUAAAAUUAACUUUAAUAGAAAUAAAUCUAAGGUGUAUGUAGACAGAUUUAUGGAGGAUUAGUUGUUCAGUAAGUUAAGUUAAGGCGAUAGUAUUAGAAAAACUUCAAUCUUGUACCAUUUUUUUAUUUACGAUUUCGUUCAUUUAGAGCGUUAACUUUCGAAAUCUGAACUGAAUUCGAAUCUCGAACUGAGGUGCCAUACUGAAGCUAAAUAAGUUUCAAAUAGACAAAUAAAAAGUGCCGAAUAAGGUGUCAUUCUUUUUAAUGGAAAUAAUAUUUAUUUCCUUCUAAUUUAGCAACAAAAUAUGAGCCAUAUUUCUAGAAAAAAUUGCGAUACCAAAAUAAGAUACAACUUAAGGAACUAUAAAUCCUUAAUUACUAUUUUUCAAAAGUGUAACUUUGUUACCUUAUGUCAAAUUGUAAAAUAAGGCGACAUUCGAAGUAAAAUAGGACCAAAAAAACGGCAAGUUUUAAGUCAAGCUAGCAGACCGGCUAUCACAGUUCUCGCCAUCGAAAAGCUACGAAAUUUCCAUUAAAAAUUUGAAAAAAUUGCAUAUUAGUCAAUCAGUAAUUACUUGCUAAGUUAUUAAUAUGCACGAAAGUGUGCUGAAAACCUAAUUGUACUCGAAACAAAAUGCCUUCAUUUACAUUAUUUGGCUACUUUCCAAAUGAAAAAAAUAUGCCGCAGCUUCAACUGUGCUCCCGCCACAACGAAAAGAAGAAAAACCUCCACAUACAAUUUUUGGUUGAAUCCAAAUGGUUAUCUAAGCACUUGCACUUAAGCGCAAACGAACAUAUAUUUACUUAUAUGUGCAUAAACACGAAUUUGUAUUUUUUAUUUGGCACGAGGCAGUCUACAAUAUUU